AACUCCUGGUGGCUUUGCCCCUCCCUGCGUCACAGGUCCAGCUCUGGUGUCCUGCUGCUGCAGAUGCUCCUGCCCUCGCACUGUCAUUCAGCUGAGUGCCCUAGUCACCUCAUCCCACCCACCAUCAUUCUUUUGCCUUGAUGUGAGAAAGCGAUUUGCAUCCAACCAGAAGGAUUAAGUAAGCUCGAUGGAGGUAGCCUGCUUUCUCUUCUCACAAACCUCUUUUGUCUCGCAGAGGCUGCUGUGCAGAAGGCAGGUGGAGAGCUUUUGUUUCAAAGUGGCCCCUGCAAACUGAGGUUUCAAAUUUGUGAUUCUUCUGCCUCAGAUGGGGGAACGGCGGGGGAUGCUGCAGUCUAAGGACCAGACACACUUGAACCCUGCCCAGCUCCUCUGGGUGCCUGCUGAAAGUCAGAUGGAGAGUUUUCGGCGGACACAACAUCUUUGUUUGUAUGUGGUGCUGAGGAUCGAACCCGGGCUGCACGCAUGCCAGGCGAGCGCACUACCGCUUGAGCCACAUCCCCAGCCCCUGUGAGGACAAGAGGUCUCCCCCCCGCAAACAUCAGAUUCUUCCCAAUGGAAACCAACAAGUAAAUAUUGUGCCAUCCCAGUGACAAGUGGGACCCAGCUUGAAAGGAGGGGUCGGUGACUCCCUUUGGCGGUGAUCUCCCAGGGAGAAGCCUGAGAGGUGAGCUGGUGGCAAGUUGAGGGAAUCAAAGCUGCGGUGUAUACACAGAGGAAGUCUAAUUCAAAAGCCAUAUAAUGAGUGGACUUGGGAGGAAGCUCGUUGCCGUGGCAACCUGAUUUCCCUGCUGCCAAGAGCAGCUUUUCUUCUUUCUUCUGCACCUGGCAGGAGCUACCCCCACCCCACCCCACAUUACUUGAGGAAGAAAGACAGAGUUUGGCAUUCUUUUAUUGAGGUCAGGGCACCGUCUCUGUCAGUGGCCAACUGUCAUGGAGAGAGAAUGUGGUGGCCUGGAUGCCUUCGCCCAUCAGCUGGACAGAGGCACCUGGGUGUCUGGGCUGAAAUGCUGAUGUCAAGGAGACCUUUUGGUUCUCUCUGCAAGAAAAGCUUUUCUGUGCUUUUCUUUAAGGACACCAAAGGUCAAGGGCCUGGUGAGCUUUUGUGAGGCCUCUUAAGCCAGUUGUUUCCUUGUUCUAAGUCACUCUGCUCUACUUCCUGCAGGGCAUUCAAGCCUGGACUCGCUGAUUGGAAUAGAGCUAGGGAAGGAGGAAACAGAUGGAUGGGCCCAAUUACUUUACAAUUUUUUACCUGUUCCCUGCCUCAGGCUCCUGCUUGCUCCAUACACAAUUUACACCCCCUCAUCUAACCCCAUAAUGGCUGGGUAAGGUGGCAAUUAUUAACCCAGUGGUUAUUCUCAGAAUAAAAACUGAGGCUCCAGCUCCUCAAGCCUCAGUGAUUGCCCAAGAUCUUAGUGCAAGAAUAUGAAUCCAGGUCUGCCAGUAUCUCAAGGUCAUGACCUUGCACCCUGACACCCCCCUCCCCCUGAGAUAAUACGGACAGGCAAGCCAGACAGUGGAGAGAUCACCCUUCUCUUGGACAUGAUGGCAGCCAAUCAUGUCCUUUCUAGGCAACAAGUGUAUAGAGGAUUUGAUCCACAUGCUUCACCUGGUCCUUUCAAGCAAAGAUCCCCUCCUCCUGGGAAAUCCCACCUGCCUCCUUUAAUCAGGCUGUGGACUGCGGCGGGGACAGCAUGUGUGGGGAGGCCAUAGACUCUGUCUCCACAGAGCGGCUUCAGAGUCCUCUCCCCCUCCCCCGUUGACCUGUCUAAUGUGAGCUCUUCUAUGAGAUGGCUCUUUCCCCAGCCUCCGGAAUAAAUGAUUUGUCUUUCCUAUGAUUUGCCUGCAUCCCACACAGAGACAGUCAUCCCGGAGCCCUCUCAGGGAGCAUCUUGCCCCCUGACACAUUCACUCUCGAGUGCCAGGUGCCCCUGGAGUGGCCCUCUUCUAUGUGUCUGCCCCUCCAUCUAGGCCCCAGGAGUGUUGCUCUCUGCUUCCCUGGCGUGACCGCUCUGUCUGGGUGACUGAAGCACACGUACCAAGAGUGCAGAUCAAUAAACGAGGAAAGCUGCCUGGGGAGGUGCUGCUCCUCCGUCUCCUACAGCUGACUGAUGAGCUACGAGCCCCAGCCCCUCCCUUCUGUGGACAGAAACCCUCAUUUGCCAAUUCAUGGUUCUACAGCACAUUCCAAUUCAAAUGAUUUCUCUUGGGUGAGGGUCUCUCUGUGGCAAAUGCUCAGGGUUGCUUUGUUUUUGUUUUGAGAUGGAUGUCUAGCAAGGUUGCCCAGACUGGCCUCCAAUCCUGGACCCUUCUGUCUCAGCCACCUGAAUAGCUGGGAUUCCAGGUGUACGCCUUUGUGCCCGGCCCACACGAGGGCCUUUUGGAGCAUCCCUGACACCCACUGUUCAGUGAUUGCUUAUGACUCAGUCCCAGUCAUAUCCCCAUAGAUUCUGAUCUCUUUUUCCUGCCCUGAGACUCUGAGGCUCUCCAGGACCUUUAGCUGCAUAGAUUUAUCUCUCUGGCCAUUUCUGUACUGAGAAACUGCUGUGACUCCAUUUUUGAGAAACCAGCCUCUACCUCAGAGCAAAGCCUGUCCAAGGAAGGGGGCGUGACCCUUGUCCUUGGAAAAACCCACAGAGCACUAAGCACAUACCCACCCUGCUGAGUUGUUUGUCUACAAAUAACAGGAGAGAUCUGCUGCACCAGGUGUCCCUGACUCAGUCAGGCUAGGUGAGGACCCAUAGCAACCCCCUAGCAACCACCAAUCAGCAUGAGACAGAGAAAAUACUUGGGAUGCCAGAUGACCCCUCAGUAGUUUAUGGUGGUUGAUAACAUGUUGGGAAACCAUGUAGUUUAGCACGUACAACCCUUGUGGCCUAAACCAAUCAGUUCAAAGUAAUCUCCCUCUUGUACUAACCAAUCACCCCUACCUAACUUGUUCCUGCCAGUGAAUGUACAAAUCAAUGUUAAGAGUUGUUGUUUGACUUUUCCACGGUAUGGAAUGAUUUGCUGGGUGAUGAUGUGAUGCAUAGAAUAUCCCCCCAAAACUGAACAAAGGACCAGGACUCACUCCCUGGGACCACUGCGUUGGGAAUGGUUGUGAGUCCAGUCUCGAGCUUGCAAUAAAGACUCUUGUGUGAUUGCAUCAGAUUUGGCUCCUGGAGGUCUACUGGGGUCCCAGGAAUCUGGCAUAACAGUACCCCAGUGCUGUUCCUCUGCCCCUCUUCUUGCUGGAUGCAACCCUUAUCCCAACACAGAGCUCCCACUAGGGCUCCAGAUAGGAAAGAGGGCCACAGACCCUACAUUUUGAGCUGUCCCCUUACCCGAGCUAGUAUGGUACUCCUUUGGCCCAGAGGAUGUGUUCAAGAUGGUGCCUGGGACUUCCCAUGUCCCUUGCCUCUGUCCACUCUCUACCCUCUUCACUCUCAAUUUCCUUCCGCUCCAAUCACAUAUAAUACAAUGAAACUCGGGGACCCAGUCCUCCAGGCCUGGUUCUGGAUGAAUUAACAUGUGCUUACAUUAUGUAGAAAAUGCUUUUCUGUCUAGGCAAAACUUACUACCUUGCUUCACGCCAAGGAAUCUUUUUUUUUUUUUGAUGUUCACAGCUGAAUACUGACUUCCUCCUGCUCUUUGCAGCAUCCCUACUCCUCUCUGAGCAAACAGAUGCCCCUGGCAGAAGAGGAGGGAGGUGACACCAAGGGAGUGACACCAUGGGAAAUUCACACAAAUGGCGUGCAGCAGAUGUCACCCAGUCCACUUGCUGAUGACAGAGGCAAGCUUGUGUGAAUCUGUGAGUUCUGUCCUCUCAACCCCAUGGACAUAGAGCUCGUUCUUCAUUGUAUUUUUUUUCUCUAAAGAACUUUUAUUUCCCCACAUUUUUUACUGGUGCGUUAUAAUUGUACAUCAUGAUAGGAUUUGCUGUUACAUAUUUGCACAUGCACACAAUAUCACAAUAUAAUUUGGCCAAUAUCACUCCCUCCCCUCCCCUCCCUUUCGGGUAUCUUUCUUCUACUGAUCUCCCUUUGAUUUUCAUGAGCUUCCCAGCCCCCCACCCUUCUUUUCCUUCUUCUCUAGCUUCUGCAUAUGAAAGAAAACA